GCUCCGGUGGCUUAAGUGGUUAGAGCGACCGUUUAGGAUACGGGAGGUCGCGUGUUUGAAACCCGACCGAAUCA